UGAAGAACACACCAACAUACCGUGGUACACACACAUAGCGAGGUAAUUUUCCCAUGACCUCGGUAUGUAAACCUCGCCAAACGCGUAGAAAUACUAUCAGGGUCAUUCUGUGAAAAUUCUAGGUAAACCUCGGAAUAUCGAUGUACUACCGAUGUGUGUGGUCGGAAUGUGUAACACACACCCGCCAGUGAAAUUCGAUUUUUGUUUUCCCGACCCGUGAAACGGGGGUUACACACGCGCAUGCGCAAAUAUCCUAUUUGCGCAUGCGCAUGUAACCCCCGUUUCAUAUCCGGAUUGUAACAAAAUGGCUGACGCUAGACGUGCCAGAACACUUCAGCGAGGCCGGGACUGUUGCGACAGAAAUAAAUAGAAGAAAAGGGUAUUCCUUUUAGUUUACAAAGGGGAAAUCAUUAAAGCUAGUGAAGGGAUCAACAGAGAAAAGGAACUUUCAACAGGAUUAGGGUUCUUCUUGAAAUCCAACGUGAAAAUCUUAUGGUAUUCUUAAUCCAUGGGGGGAAAAAUGACGUUGACAAUUGCAUCAAUUAAAAGAUAAUGAGGCUUUUCAAGUUGGAACACAUAUCUUAAAAUCGACAUAUAAGGUCGAGGGACAGAAAGCUCGACUCCCUCCUUGGACUGUAAACUACAACUUAUUGGAUUGGUGCCUAUGUUUUGUGUAACUAUGGACUUAAACACAUAAUGUUUCAAUUCAAAGCAUCCAUCUUUGACCAAGCUCAGUGGUCACCCCAAUGGAACUAUCUGUCAAAGAGAAGAAGCAAGCCACACAAAUCCAGCGACUCUGAUGUACAGGACCAGCUUCUACAUGAUAUUUUUAAAGCAAAUAUUUCCUUGCGGUGUGAACUGAAAUGAUGAACUGUAUCAAUGCAAUUCACAGAUAAAAGUGUCUCAGUGAAUUAUCAUGGAAGAAAAUAAAAACACUGUACUUAACUGGAUUAUGACUGAAAGUAUAAAUCAAAACUCUUCAAAAAUGUGGCCAAGGUCAAAAAAUUAUGGAUUACAAGGUUAAUUUUAUUUGAAAAUGAUACGUAGUUCAGAUAUUUAGUUGGACAUACCAUGUUAUGUUUUCAAUUAAGACUUGACAGUAAGGUUCUUGUUUACCCUUCAUGUUUAUAUAUCAGUGAAAAGUGUUGUAUAUACAGAUGCUUAACCAGGG